GGUUCUCUCCGAAAUAGCUUUAGGGCUAGCGUCGAUGUUAAGUCUCUUGGAGGUAGAGCACUGUUUGGGUGAGGGGUCCAUCCCGGAUUACCAAUCUCAGAUAAACUCCGAAUGCCAAUGAGAUAUAAUCGGCAGUCAGACUGCGAGUGCUAAGAUCCGUAGUCGAAAGGGAAACAGCCCAGACCACCAGCUAAGGUCCCAAAAUAAUUGUUAAGUGGAAAAGGAUGUGGGGUUGCACAGACAACUAGGAUGUUAGCUUAGAAGCAGCUAUUCAUUCAAAGAGUGCGUAAUAGCUCACUAGUCGAGUGACCCUGCGCCGAAAAUGUACCGGGGCUAAAACAUAUUACCGAAGCUGUGGAUACCUUUAUAGGUAUGGUAGGAGAGCGUUCUAUGUGCGAAGAAGGUGUACCGUGAGGAGUGCUGGAGCGCAUAGAAGUGAGAAUGCCGGUAUGAGUAGCGAAAGACAGGUGAGAAUCCUGUCCACCGUAAGACUAAGGUUUCCAGGGGAAGGCUCGUCCGCCCUGGGUUAGUCGGGACCUAAGGAGAGACCGAAAGGUGUAUCCGAUGGACAACAGGUUGAUAUUCCUGUACUAGAGUAUAUAGUGAUGGAGGGACGCAGUAGGCUAACUAAACCAGACGAUUGGAAGUGUCUGGCCAAGCAGUGAGGUGUGAUAUGAGUCAAAUGCUUAUAUCUUUAACAUUGAGCUGUGAUGGGGAGCGAAGUUUAGUAGCGAAGUUAGUGAUGUCACACUGCCGAGAAAAGCUUCUAGCGUUAAUUAUACUCUACCCGUACCGCAAACCGACACAGGUAGUCGAGGCGAGUAGCCUCAGGUGAGCGAGAGAACUCUCGUUAAGGAACUCGGCAAAAUGGCCCCGUAACUUCGGGAGAAGGGGCGCUGACUGAUGGUCAGCCGCAGUGAAUAGGCCCAAGCAACUGUUUAUCAAAAACACAGCUCUCUGCUAAAUCGUAAGAUGAUGUAUAGGGGGUGACGCCUGCCCGGUGCUGGAAGGUUAAGAGGAGUGCUUAGCGUAAGCGAAGGCAUGAAUUGAAGCCCCAGUAAACGGCGGCCGUAACUAUAACGGUCCUAAGGUAGCGAAAUUCCUUGUCGGGUAAGUUCCGACCCGCACGAAAGGCGUAAUGAUUUGGGCACUGUCUCAACGAGAGACUCGGUGAAAUUUUAGUACCUGUGAAGAUGCAGGUUACCCGCGACAGGACGGAAAGACCCCAUGGAGCUUUACUGCAGUUUGAUAUUGAGUAUCUGUACCACAUGUACAGGAUAGGUAGGAGCCUAUGACCUCGGGACGCCAGUUUCGAGUGAGGCGUUGUUGGGAUACUACCCUUGUGUUAUGGCUACUCUAACCCAGAUAGGUUAUCCCUAUCGGAGACAGUGUCUGACGGGCAGUUUGACUGGGGCGGUCGCCUCCUAAAAGGUAACGGAGGCGCCCAAAGGUUCCCUCAGAAUGGUUGGAAAUCAUUCGCAGAGUGUAAAGGUAUAAGGGAGCUUGACUGCGAGAGCUACAAC
rnacentral:rRNA from 1 species